rnacentral:rRNA from 1 species
GGGCCCGCACAAGCGGUGGAUUAUGUGGAUUAAUUCGAUGCAACGCGAAAAACCUUACCUGGCCUUGACAUGUACCGAAUUUAGCAGAGAUGCUUUAGUGCUCGAAAGAGAACGGUAACACAGGUGCUGCAUGGCUGUCGUCAGCUCGUGUCGUGAGAUGUUGGGUUAAGUCCCGCAACGAGCGCAACCCUUGCCAUUAAUUGCCAUCAUUUAGUUGGGCACUUUAAUGGGACUGCCGGUGACAAACCGGAGGAAGGUGGGGAUGACGUCAAGUCCUCAUGGCCCUUAUGGCCAGGGCUUCACACGUAAUACAAUGGUCGGUACAGAGGGAAGCCAACCCGCGAGGGGGAGCCAAUCUCAGAAAGCCGGUCGUAGUCCGGAUUGUUGUCUGCAACUCGACAGCAUGAAGUCGGAAUC